rnacentral:sRNA from 1 species
AUGGCUGUCGUCAGCUCGUGUCGUGAGAUGUUGGGUUAAGUCCCGCAACGAGCGCAACCCUUGUCGUUAAUUGCCAUCAUUUAGUUGGGCACUUUAACGAGACUGCCGGUGACAAACCGGAGGAAGGUGGGGAUGACGUCAAGUCCUCAUGGCCCUUAUGGGUAGGGCUUCACACGUCAUACAAUGGUCGGUACAGAGGGUAGCCAACCCGCGAGGGGGAGCCAAUCUCAGAAAGCCGAUCGUAGUCCGGAUCGCAGUCUGCAACUCGACUGCGUGAAGUCGGAAUCGCUAGUAAUCGCGGAUCAGCAUGUCGCGGUGAAUACGUUCCCGGGCCUUGUACACACCGCCCGUCACACCAUGGGAGUGGGUUCCACCAGAAGUAGCUAGCCUAACCGCAAGGGGGGCGGCUACCACGGUGAGAUUCAUGACUGGGGUGAAGUCGUAACAAGGUAGCCGUAUCGGAAGGUGCGGCUGGAUCACCUCCUUUCUAGAGAGAGUCAGCUGUGCUCCAGUGCCCACGCUUAUCGGUUGUAACCAAAGGCAGGUGCGAAGGGGAGUUAGCUUCGUGCCGCGUGCCUGGGGCCUUGGGCCCGGGUCAUAGACCGGGUCUGUAGCUCAGUUGGUUAGAGCACCGUCUUGAUAAGGCGGGGGUCGAUGGUUCGAAUCCAUCCAGACCCACCAACGCCGGACGCAUCAGCGUUUUUGAGUGCUGUGGGGUGUGUGGGGGUAGGCGGAUACGGGGGUGUAGCUCAGUUGGGAGAGCACCUGCUUUGCAAGCAGGGGGUCAUCGGUUCGAUCCCGUUCACCUCCACCAGUUUUAGUUUCGGGUCUGUAUGUGAACCGUGAUGUGUGAUGAGUGGGCAGUGAAGCGGGUACUGCUUACUCAUCACCUAUUACCAGGUGAGAUUGGCUGUUCUUUAACAAUCUGGAGAAGUAAAGUGUGACGGUUCGAGUGAUCGAGUCGGAGGCGGGGUAUUGCUUCUGACUGGAGAGCGAGGAUCGACACAGGGUUGUGAUUGUAUCGACUGACUCGCGUUCUUAAUCUGGGGCGCGGGUUGGCACAAGCGCGAGAAGUAUUCCUGUGGCCUGGAGAUUUCGAUUGAAUCCCGGAGUAUUGGGGUGGGAUUGAGAGCUUAAGGUUAUAGGGUCAAGCGAAUAAGUGCAUAUGGUGGAUGCCUUGGCGAUCACAGGCGAUGAAGGACGUAGUAGCUUGCGAAAAGUCACGGGGAGCUGGCAAACGAGCUUUGAUCCGUGAAUGUCCGAAUGGGGAAACCCGG